rnacentral:lncRNA from 1 species
AAGGGUCGUUAGGCGUUAAAUGCUAAGGUGAGACUUGACGAGGGUAUUAGGUGUAUCACGCAUGCACCGCAUUGUCGACAUGUUCGACAGCGUUUGCGAAGCCAUGUUACUGAACCGUCCGAGUUCAUCGCGUUCGGAGCGUAUAUGUUGCAGAGCGUGAUCUUUUUUUACAGGCUGAGGCAUUAUGCUGGUUUUCCGCUGUCCAGUCCGGCCUUGCGCCCGCGCUUGUACAGAACGGUCAAGUGGGAAGGCGUACGGCUCAGCCCCCCACUUAGCGCACACGGACUGGGACAGCGGCCUUGAUGGCUAUUGGAGAACUGAGACAGCCUGAAGAUGUGAGGGUAUAUAGCUUGGAACAUCUUCUAAAAGUGAGAAGGAGGGGUGUUGUACGGCUUCACAAGGAAGUUACCUAGUCUGGCGUUUAUGCGCAGAAUUCUCCACAGUCGUGAC